AGAGUUUGAUCCUGGCUCAGGACGAACGCUGGCGGCGCGCCUAACACAUGCAAGUCGAACGGUGAAGAGGAGCUUGCUCCUUGGAACAGUGGCGGACGGGUGAGUAACACGUGAGCAACCUGGCUCUAAGAGGGGGACAACAGUUGGAAACGACUGCUAAUACCGCAUAACGUAUCGGGAUGGCAUCUUCCUGAUACCAAAGAUUUUAUCGCUUAGAGAUGGGCUCGCGUCUGAUUAGAUAGUUGGCGGGGUAACGGCCCACCAAGUCGACGAUCAGUAGCCGGACUGAGAGGUUGAACGGCCACAUUGGGACUGAGACACGGCCCAGACUCCUACGGGAGGCAGCAGUGGGGGAUAUUGGACAAUGGGGGCAACCCUGAUCCAGCGACGCCGCGUGAGGGAAGAAGGUUUUCGGAUUGUAAACCUCUGUUGACGGAGAAAAAAAUGAUGGUAUCCGUUUAGAAAGCCACGGCUAACUACGUGCCAGCAGCCGCGGUAAUACGUAGGUGGCAAGCGUUGUCCGGAAUUACUGGGUGUAAAGGGAGUGUAGGCGGGAUAUCAAGUCAGAAGUGAAAAUUACGGGCUCAACUCGUAACCUGCUUUUGAAACUGACA
rnacentral:rRNA from 1 species